rnacentral:rRNA from 1 species
GGUAACCUGCCUCACACAGGGGGAUAGCAGUUGGAAACGACUGGUAAUACCGCAUAAGCGCACAGCUUCGCAUGAAGCAGUGUGAAAAACUCCGGUGGUGUGAGAUGGACCCGCGUCUGAUUAGGUAGUUGGUGAGGUAACGGCCCACCAAGCCAACGAUCAGUAGCCGACCUGAGAGGGUGACCGGCCACAUUGGGACUGAGACACGGCCCAGACUCCUACGGGAGGCAGCAGUGGGGAAUAUUGCACAAUGGAGGAAACUCUGAUGCAGCGACGCCGCGUGAGUGAAGAAGUAUUUCGGUAUGUAAAGCUCUAUCAGCAGGGAAGACAGUGACGGUACCUGACUAAGAAGCUCCGGCUAAAUACGUGCCAGCAGCCGCGGUAAUACGUAUGGAGCAAGCGUUAUCCGGAUUUACUGGGUGUAAAGGGAGUGUAGGUGGUAUCACAAGUCAGAAGUGAAAGCCCGGGGCUCAACCCCGGGACUGCUUUUGAAACUGUGGAACUGGAGUGCAGGAGAGGUAAGUGGAAUUCCUAGUGUAGCGGUGAAAUGCGUAGAUAUUAGGAGGAACACCAGUGGCGAAGGCGGCUUACUGGACUGUAACUGACACUGAGGCUCGAAAGCGUGGGGAGCAAACAGGAUUAGAUA